UCUUCCGGGUAGAAAAUAGCUGGAACUUUCACCAGUGUUCAGUCUGCCGCCAGCCCCCGGGGAACUAUGGAGGCCCCGCGACCGGCAGGGACAUUCGUGGUGGUAGGAGGUGGCAUCGCUGGCGUCACGUGUGCCGAGCAGGUUCGUGGGCGCGUGCUCCGCCCCUUCUGGACCCUGUUGUCGUGGUUACGGGAGAUUGCGGCGGGCGGCACCGCUUCGCGGGUCGCUCUUCCGGCUUUUCCCCACGCCCACUCGGCGGCGCCGCUGGUGGGGAGGCUGCGCAGAGCCCCGUUGUAGCGUUUGGGGCCAGGAGUAGACAGUGCCUAAUUAGCUAGGAAUCCAAAAUCGAACCAGACUCCGGGUGGAAUAGUGUGCCAGUGGGCAGGAGACCUUGGCGUUUGGACAGAAAAUUCUCCCACUUUUCAGAUUUCCUUCACACAUGAAAUUUAGUUUCUUGAUAAGUGCCACGACGUUAAUAAAUAAUUUCAACGUUACCUUGAACUCCAAAGAUAAAAUUUCAUGUCUAGCAGAAGUUUGGGGCAAAGGACUACAGAUGAGGAAAUUCUAAUCAUGAUAAACAAAUGAAUCAGAUGUGUUUACAUGUGCGUAUUACAGAAAAGAACUAUUUUGUUGCGAUCACCAACCGCUGAAGUCACCAGAAAUAGUAGCAGGAAGUGUUUUUUGAGUUGUUAAACUUGGGUGGUGCAGCUCCUGUUUAUCCAUCAAAGAGUUCAUAUUCCAAGUCACGUCAUCACUGUGUUACCUUAAUCUUAGGAGUUACUGGUAGGAGUGAAUUAAGGUAAGGGGUAAUUAACUUCUCUUAAUGUGUAAAGAUUACCAAAUAGAGAAGAAAAACAUACUCCACAGUGUAGCCUUCAUGGGAAGAAAGCAUGACUUAAAUUGCAAGCAGAGAAGCUGAUAAGAGACAGAAGCAAGGAAGACUGCCAGAGUUCAGACCACAUAGGUUGAUACGACUUGCUGUGUUUAAUGAAAGUCUGCAAAUAGAUGGUUUCGAGUUAGGGGUGAAAGCUUUGUAAAUUUGAUUAGCUACAGUGUGUGUGUUAAGGGCAAAUGGUCGACAGCUGUGUGAAGCAGGAAGCUAACCUGUAGAUAGUUCUCAGGAGUAUUAAGUUUUGAGAACUUGAUCCAACAAGAAAUGUACAAGAUAGAUUACAGAAUAUGAAGAGGAAACAAAGGCAGAGAGUGGUCAGAUAUAGGACAUUCAAAUAGGUUGAGUCACAGGACUGUUGUAUGGCCUGAGGGCGUGGGGUUGAGGGUGCUGAGCUUCGUGGGACAUGAGCAGGGACAUGGGACAGGCAGUGGAACAGAAUCCAAGAUGAGCAAACGACCACCCCCCUCCGGAGUGUAGGGAAAAGGUAGAAAUCGUGAAACUGCUGCAUGUUAAGUCUUUGUGUUUUGUUAAGCUAAGGUUCAAAUGGCUCUGUCUUCCCUGAGUAUGUACUAGUCAGAGAGGGAGUGUGAGGGCCAUGGGAAGAGUGAUGCUGAGAUUCUGUCUCAUAUCGCAGCCUUGCUUUAAUUUUAUCCUCAGCGAAGGCAAGUAAAAACACUACUUUAAAAUGAAUGGAAGUAAGUAAGCAGUCUGUAAUUGGCUGUAUAGCUUUAAACUGGUAUAUGGAAUAAGUCGGCCAAAGAUACUGCUGUAGUGGUUUUAGGUCUUUGUUCUCCUUUAUCGUGACUGUACUGUUCAUCUUAUCACUGUAAGGGUUUACCAUCACCAGUGCUGUGGCACUGUGGCUAACACUCAGAAUAACACGAUUUUACAUGUGAGACACUGACGGUUUAUUACUUACAGUGCCAUAGCACCAUGACAGCAUCAUUUACUCAGUAAUGCCUGAUGUUCUCUCUCCUGUCCUUUCUCCUUAAAACUCAGCUGGCUGUCAGUUUCCCAGAGGAAGACAUUCUCCUAGUCACAGCCUCUCCUGUUAUCAAAGCCGUUACAAACUUCAGACAGGUGAGAGGCUCGGCGGAAGAUGUGACACAGUUCCCUUUGAACUGUGUGUUGAAUUUGUUCUGUCUUGAGAAGUCUGAAGCUUUUUUUCCAUUAAAAGUCUACAUGUUCAAUUGUUCAAUGUAUAUUAGAUAGUUACUUUUAACUGAACUAGAAAAUUCUGAGAUUUUAACUUUUAUCUCUUAAUAAGACAAAUCUCAUUGUGUGUAUUCAUAUAGGCCUCUAGGUUCCUUGGUAAC
rnacentral:lncRNA from 1 species